rnacentral:rRNA from 1 species
UGUCACUGACGCUGAAGCUCGAAAGUGCGGGUAUCGAACAGGAUUAGAUACCCUGGUAGUCCGCACGGUAAACGAUGGAUGCCCGCUAUUCGCUCGAAUGAGUGAGUGGCCAAGCGAAAGCAUUAAGCAUCCCACCUGGGGAGUACGCCGGCAACGGUGAAACUCAAAGGAAUUGACGGGGGCCCGCACAAGCGGAGGAACAUGUGGUUUAAUUCGAUGAUACGCGAGGAACCUUACCCGGGCUUGAAUUGCAGAUGAACGAUCCAGAGAUGGUGAGGCCCUUCGGGGCAUCUGUGAAGGUGCUGCAUGGUUGUCGUCAGCUCGUGCCGUGAGGUGUCGGCUUAAGUGCCAUAACGAGCGCAACCCCUGUUCUUAGUUGCCAUCAGGUAAUGCUGGGCACUCUGGGAAUACUGCCACCGUAAGGUGUGAGGAAGGUGGGGAUGACGUCAAAUCAGCACGGCCCUUACGUCCGGGGCUACACACGUGUUACAAUAGCCGGUACAGAGAGUUGGUCGUGCGCAAGUACGGUCUAAUCCAUAAAACCGGUCUCAGUUCGGACUGGGGUCUGCAACCCGACCCCACGAAGCUGGAUUCGCUAGUA